rnacentral:lncRNA from 1 species
CCCCUUUCCUUGGGAGCUUAAAAAACCAUGCUGUAUUUAAAAAAUUUACGAGCCGCUUUUUUUCAAAUAAGUGAUUGUUCAGUAAUUGAGGAGGUAGGUUUGAUAGCACUGAGGAAGAGGUCACAUGCUUUUAUAAUUGACAAGAAGUGACUUACACAAUAGGGAGAUUCAGAGAACCAGUUCUGUAAGUGACUUGUACGUUUGACUUGACAAAUCUUUUUAUGGAUAUACAAAAAGUGCACAUUAUCUUACGUCAGUAUAACCAAAGAACAUUUUAAUUGAAGAUAGUAAAAAAGACAGUUAAUGGCCUGCUCUGAAUUUAUGUCAAGGAGAAGUUAUGCUUGAAGUAAGACACACCCACACAGAUGUACUUCACCUGCUCUCCAUCAGGAGACUAACAAAAGAUGAGCAGUUUGGAUUUCUGAUGACAAGAGUGAGAACCAUCCUGUUACCGUGUGAUCUCACAGCUGAACGACUAAAUUUCACACUGACAUUGGAUUAACUUCUAUUUUUGUGAUAUCAGACUGUCAUUGACUUCAACAGGGAAAAGAAUAUGAAACACCUCACACACAUGCUUGGCAUACAGUAAGUCCACAGUUAAUAUGUGUUGAAUUAAAUUUGUUGAGUUAAAUUGAAUUGGAAUUUUGAUGCUAUUAUAU